rnacentral:rRNA from 1 species
CAAACGACUCUCGGCAACGGAUAUCUCGGCUCACGCAUCGAUGAAGAACGUAGCAAAAUGCGAUACCUGGUGUGAAUUGCAGAAUCCCGUGAACCAUCGAGUUUUUGAACGCAAGUUGCGCCCGAAGCCAUUCGGCUGAGGGCACGUCUGCCUGGGCGUCACGC